UGGGUGAUGCUCUGCGGGUGGUUACUUUUCAAAACAAAUCCUUAUUUUUCGUUUACUUCGCGGUAUGAACUGUUAUUUAGUGCUUUCAUGGUGCGUGUGACUCGUAAAGAGGUAGAUGUUGGUGUCCUUUAAUUUUCCCUAGUCUACAGUGAGAAAUAUAAAGGAAAAGGAGAGAAGAUUAAGAGUCGAGUUGAAGAUGGCGCCGCCCCGGCCUGUUGUUGCUUCAGCUUCGGACACGGUAGCGGCCCGCCCCUCGCCCGUCCCUGUCUGAGCAGCGGCUCCAGGCUUGGCAGGGCGCCCAGACAGCCAGUGCUCGCGCCCAGAACCAAGGUGCCAAUGGGACCGAAGGGAGAGUUUGGCGUCGCUUGAGAGUAAUGAUCGUCUCGUGAGGCAGCUCUGAGCACCGCCAGGCCGGGAUGUGUAUUGCAAGGCGCCCCGCAGCGAGUCUCUCUUGGGUGUGGU